rnacentral:rRNA from 1 species
AUUGAACGCUGGCGGCAGGCCUAACACAUGCAAGUCGAACGAGUGGCGGACGGGUGAGUAAUGUCUGGGAAACUGCCUGAUGGAGGGGGAUAACUACUGGAAACGGUAGAUAAUACGGCAUACCAUCGGAUGUGCGAAGAUGGGAUGAGCUAGUAGGUGGGGUAACGGCUCACUUAGGCGACGAUCCCUAGCUGGUCUGAGAGGAUGACCAGCCACACUGGAACGGAGACACGGUCCAGACUCCUACGGGAGGCAGCAGUGGGGAAUAUUGCACUAUGGGCGCAAGCCUGAUUCAGCCAUGCCUCGUGUAUGAAGAAGACCUUCGGGUUGUAAAGUACGUUCAGCUGGGAGGCGUUACCCGCAGAAGAAGCACCGGCUAACUCCGUGCCAGCAGCCGCGGUAAUAC